GAAAAAGUUGGAUGCCUCAACCCAUUGAAUAAUUAGAGAAUUUGAGGUGUUUGGGGCUUACCUAGUUGUUUGCUUUAAUAUGCAGGAAUCACCACCAGUAUGCUAUGAAAGGCAGCCCAGUGAGUAUCUCUUCUUGGUUUGGGUUUGGGUUUGCUUCUUGGGGGGGAUGCAGAGGGUUUCAAAUUAACUCAUGGCUCAAGGAUGCUGGAUGUUCUCAGCAAAAAAUGUCUUUUAGGCACAGCUGCUUUGUAGCACUCCCAAUGCUUUGGACCAUGGCCAUAAAAAGAAAGAUGCAAUGCAUAGUUUAACUGCAAAUAAAGAAAAUGUGAGUAUUUAAUGGAAAUAUAGUUACAUUAUUCUAUAUUUAUUCAUUAUUAUUAUCAUUAUGAUACUGGGGAUUGAACCUAGGUGUGUGCUUUACUACUAAGCUACAUCACCAGCCCUUUUUUUAAUUUUUAAUUUUGGGCAGGGUCUUACAACAUUAUUGAGACUGUCCUUGAAUUUGGGAUUCUCCUGUCUCAGUCUCCAGAUGAGCUGAGAUAGGCAUUCACCACCUUUCCCAGCUCUAUAUUAUUAUUUUAUUCCUUUGAGAGAAGCGACUUACUGGUUUUGGGAGACCUAUAGCUAUUUAUAUCUCAGUAUGCUAGACAAGCAAAUUAUAUCACCAUAGGUGAAGAAAAAUCUUUGUAAUAUUUUUUUUUUUUUCCCCUGUUAAAACAAGAAUCCUAAAUCCAAAUCCUCCAUAGUAGGAGUUCUUGAUUACUCAUAUUCAGUUGAUUACAUUAAGGACAAACAUUGUUGUUACCAUUGUAUAAAGAAUUUAUUUCUUAAGCUGGGUAUGGGGGUGAAUGUUUGCAAUAUCAGCUACUCAUAUAACUGAAACAGGAGGACUAUAAGUGUGAGGCCAGUCUCAGCAACUCAGUAAGACCCUGUCUUAAAAAAGAAAAACUUUGAUAGUGAUAACAUGCAUAACUCGUUCAAAGAUUCUUUUCUUUUUUAAAAUAUUUUUUAGUUGUAGAUAGACAGAAUAUUUUAUUUAUUUAUUUCUAUAUGGUGCUGAGGAUUGAACCCAGUGCCUCACAUGUGCCAGGCAAGUGCUCUAACACUGAGCUACAACCCCAGCCCUCAAAGAUUCUUUACAUGGAGUUUUAUUUAUUUGUAUAGAUAUUUAUUUACUUGGUACUGGGAUUGAACCCAGGGGUUCUUUACCACUGAGUUACAUCCCCAGUCUAUUUAUUUAUUUUUUAUUUUGAGACAGAGUCUAAGUUGCUGAGACUGGCCUCAAACUUACAAUUCUGCCUUGGUCUCCUGAGUCUAUGAGAUUACAGGUUUGUGCCACUGCACCUGGCUCCAUCAUCAUCAUCAUCAUCAUUAUUAUUUUCUAAUUUGUGGAUUGAGAAUUGAACCUAGGGGUUUGCUAUACUAGGCAAGAACUCUAAAAUUCUUUUAUUUUGAGACCAGAUCUCCCUAAAUUGUCCAGGUAACCUCAAACUGUGAUCUUCCUACCUCAGACUCCCAAGUAGCUGAGAUUACAAAUGAGGGUACUGCACCCAACCACUUUAUUUUUAGUGCUAAGGAUUGAUAAUGCUAAGGACUGAACUAUGCUAAUAGCAUGUUGUAUCACUAGCUAUAUCCCUUUAGUCCCUAUUCUGAAGAAGUCAUGGUUUUUUCUGUCUAAGCCUUUGACCAUAUUUCAGAUCCAUGUUGAAAUUUUCCUAUCCUAGAUACCUAAUCACUAAGAUAAUUGUGUAAUUAAUCUCCUUCCUUUUUUUUUUUUUUAAAGAGAGAGAGAGAGAGAGAGAAUUUUUUAAUAUUUAUUUUUUAGCUUUUUUUCGGCGGACACAACAUCUUUGUUUGUAUGCGGUGCUGAGGAUCGAACCCCGGGCCGCACACAUGCCAGGCGAGCGAGCUACCGCUUGAGCCACAUCCCCAGCCCUCCUUUUUUUUUUUUUUUAAAAAAAAACUACCUUCCAUCCCUUCUCCCAGGGUCACUGUGCAUAAAAGAUAGUUGUUGUUUUGUUACUCUGACAAAGAUAUGUUCAUGUUUUUGGCUGUUCUAUUCAGAUUUUUAUUGAUUUAAUACUGAUUUAAUGAUUCUUGGGCCUCAGUCUCUCGAUUAGCUGGUACUAUAGGUGUAUGCCACCAGGCCUAGUUUAUAAUCAGUUUUUCCCUGCAAUGUGCUGGAGACUGAACUCAGGGCCUUACAUGUGCUAGGCAAGCACUAUAAUACUGAGUUUUACACUCAGACUUUUUUUAAAACUUUUUUUUGAGACAGGAUCUUGCAGAGUUGCCCAGACUAGCCUUGAACUUAAUGUCCUUCUGUGUCAGUCUCCCAAGUUGCUGGGAUUACAGGUGUGUGCCUACCAUGCCUGUCCUUAUAAACACUUUUUGAAAUCUUACCAUCUUCUUCCCAAGCAGGUUCUCCCCAACUCCUCAAUUCUUUUGUUUGUGAUGAUAAAAUUAAUAUCCUACAAGCAAAUCUAGGUGCCAGACAUCAAAUUCAAACCAUUAUUUGCAUCUUCAGGGUAUACAUUUAAUGAUUACAUUUGAUGUGUUUCAUGAGGGUUAUUCAUAGUUUGAUUAGACAAAAUGUUUUUGGCAGGGCCCAAUUAAUAUGUCUCUUCCUCCCGCCAACAUAGUUUUUCUUAUGCAGGAUAAAAACACUUUUAAGGCCUUGGAGUGGCAGACACCCAGGAACCUGAGGUUUCAAAAAAGAUCAGGAGGUCCUUACAUGUCUUCCCCUUCUGUGCUGGUGAGUCAUUGAAUAUCAUCAUUAAGGGUAGGUUGGGGUAUUAUAGGAUAGCAGAUUUGUGACCCUUGACUUUUUUUAAUCUGGCUGUGUGAGACAGGGGUGGACAAGUAAAGUUUGAACAGAGAGAGGAAAGAGCUAUAUUUCCUUCAAUCAUUUUAUUAAAUUUUUUUUUUUAUUAUUAUUGGGUUAUUGAACUAGGGGCAUUUUACCAUCAAGCUACAGCCUCAAUCCUUUUAAUGUUUUUAUUUUGGGAUUGGGUCUCGCUAAGUUGCUAAAGGUCUUGCCACAUUGCCCAGGCUGACCUCAAACUUGGGACCCUUCUACCUCAGUUGUUAUGCACCACCAUGAUUGGCUUCUUUUCUUUCCUUUCUUUGAGAUAGGGCUUGCUGUGUUUCCCAGGCCGAGUUUGAACUCCUGGGCUCAAUCACUCCUACCUCAGCCUCCCAAGUACUGGGUUACAGGCAUGAAUGACUGAAGGACCAUGCCUGGUGACAGUACCUUAUUCUUUUUUUUUUUUUGAUACUGGGGAUUAAACCCAGGAGUGCUUAAUCAAUGAGCUACAUCCCCAGCCCUUUUUUUUUUUUUUUUUUUUUUGAGACAGGGUCUCAUUAAGUUGCUUAGUCCUUGCUAAGUUGCUAAGGCUGGCCUCAAACUUGUGAUCCUCCUGCCUUAGCCUCCCAAGCCACUGGAUUUACAGGCAUGUACCACUGCACCUGGAUAUAUUUAGUUUUUUGAAGAACUGCCAUACUAUUCAUAGUGACUAUACCACUUUACAUUCCUACCUGUAGUGCAUAAGCACCUAUUGUCCUUAUAAUACUCAUUUUAAUGGGUAUAAAGUGGUAUCUCCUUGUGAUUUUCAUUUUGAUUUCUCUGCUAAAUAUGUUGAGUAUCUUUUGGUAUGCUGUCAGGCUAUGUAUAUGUCUUCUUUGAAAUGUCUAUUCAAAUCCUAUUUGUUUUUGUUGAGUUCUAGGAGUACUUUAUAUAUUCUGAUGUUAAUUCCUCGUUGGAUAUAUGAUUUGAAAAUAUUUUCUCCCAUUUUUUGGGUUGUCUUUUAAUAAUAUCCUUUGGACUGGGGGUAUAGCUCAGUGAUAGAAUGUUUGCCUAGUAUUCCCAGGCUCUGAGUUUAAGUCUUACCCCCCCCCCAAAAAAAAAAAAAAAAUUAACAAAAUGUACAUCCUUUAAAUAAAGAUAAUGUCCUUCAAUGCAUAAAAUCUUUUACUUACUUACUUUUUUAUACUGGGAUUGACCAAGGGAUGCUCUAUCAUUGAGCUUUAUCUACAGCACUUUUUAUGUUUUGAGACAGGUUCUAUCUAAGUUGUCCAGGCUGGCUUUAUACUUAUGAUCCUCCUGUCUCAGUAUCCCAAGUCACUGGAAUUACAGGUGUACACCACCACAAAUGGAUCAGUUAAUUUUUUAUAUGGUGUAAGGUAAAGGUCCUAAAUAGGUUUUAAUAUUGUUGUUAUCCUUGACAGGACAAUGGGAAGUUUGCAGAAAGUGAAAUGAAAUAUUUGGGCAGUCCCAUUACUACAGUUCCAACAUUGGAUAAAAUUCCAAAACUUGAAGACCAGGUAGAAGAGAUUUCAAAUGUGUUGAUGGAAUUUUCCCUAGAAGAUCAAGAAGGCACUGAGGUAUGCUGCUCCCUGAUGAUAUAUUUGUGUUUCUUCAUUCUUUUUUGGUACUGAAGAUUGAAUCCAGGGGUGCUUUACCACACUACAAAGCUACAAAACCAACCCUUUUUAUUUUUUUAUUUUGAGAUAGGGUCAUGCUAAGUUGCUGAGGCAGGCCUUGAACCAUGAUUCUUCUGCCUCACCCUCUUGAGUAGUCUGGAUUACAGGCCUGUGCCAACAUACCCAGCUCUUCAUUCUUUCUCUCUCUUUUUUUUUUUUUUGGUACCAGGGAUUGAACCUGGGAGUGCUAAAUUACUGAGUCACAUCCUCCAGCACUCGCGUGCGCGCAUGCACAUACUCUCUCACACUCUCUCUCUCUUUUCCCCCCAGAGGGUCUUUCUAAGUUGCUUUGGGCUUCACUUCUUGAGGCUGGCUUUGAACUUGGGAUCCUCUUGCCUCUGCUUCCUGAGUUGCUGGGAUUACAGGUGUGCAUCACCAUGCCUGGCUUCAUUCUUUUUUGCAUAAACAACAUUGUAUGCCUAAUAUUUUGCAGUCAUUGUACUAAAUGUUAGGGCUGCAGAGAUCAAGAAGAUAUAAUCUUAAGACAGGUGACUUUGGAGACUGAGGCAGGAAGAUCUUAAGUUCGAGGACAGUUUCAGCAAUGUAGCAAGACCCUGUCUCAAAUAAGAAAUAAAAAGGGCUGGGGGUGUAGAUCAGUGGGUUCAAUCUCCUGUAACUGUGGGUUCAAUCUCCUGUAACCCUCCCUAAUAAUCAUAAAAUAAUAGAAACUAAGGGAAAUUUUAUUUUCACAGCAGGGAUAUUUAGUUAAGAAUAGGGUGGUGAACUAAACUGUUCCUAGAAUGUGGGAUCUUAUAUGAUAAAGCUGGGAAAGUCCUAGACAAACUGAGAUAAAGUUGGUUACCCUAGUUCUGAAGGGUAACAUACAUGACAAGUAGAAGAAAGAGUGUACCUUGAUAAGGGUAUGUGGCAUGUAGAAAGUUCCCAGUGUUGAAAAGUUCUUUGGGUUCUCAAGGACAUGAGAAGCCAAUGUGAGUAAGGGGAGAUUUGCAUGAGUUGGGAAAAAAGAGGUAGUCAGGAGGCAGGACAUAAAGGGCUUUUUAGACCAUGGUGAAUGUUUAGAUUUUAUUUUAAGUACAGUUGGACACUAUUGGGGGCGGUAUUAAGCAGGAAUAUAAUAUGCUCUGAUUUUUGUUUUAUGAAGACCAUUCUCAAUGCUAGAUUGGGAAUAAUGGGUAAAAAAUUAAGUUGGAAAUAGUAAGAGAAGGAAGCUUUGCUAUAGUCCUGGCAAGAGUUGGUGGUAAGCUAGGUGUGGUGGUGUUAGUUCCAGCUAAUGAGAGGCUGAGGCAGGAGGAUCACCUGAACCCAUGAAUUCAAGACCAGCCUGACCAACACAGUGAGAUCCCAUCUCAAUAAAACAAAAAGAAGUAGCAGGGGCUGAGGUUGUAGCUCAGUGGUAGAGUGCUUGCCUAGCAUGUGUGAGGCCCUGGGUUUAAUCCCCAGCACCACAUAAAAAAACUAAAUAAACAAUAAAAGAAUUGUGCCCAUCUAAAACUAAAACUAUUUUAAAAAAAAAAUGGCAAUAGCCUGAACUAAGGUAGAGGCUAUAGAGGCAGAGAAAUGGAUGAAUUCAGAAUAUAUUUUGGAGGAUAGACUCAACAGAAUUUAAUAGGUUGGAUGCAGGCUGUGCAAGAAGGAGGAGAUUAAAUAUAACUUUAAACAUGUUAAGUUUGACAGUUUUUUUUUUUUUUUUUUUAAUAUUUUUAGUUGUAGAUGGACACAAUACCUUUAUUUUGUUUAUUUAGUUUUAUGUGGUGCUGAGGAUCGAACCCAGAACCUCACACAUGUCGGGCAAGCACUCUACCACUGAGCUACAACCCCGGCCCCAAGUUUGAUAGGUUUUGAUUCAAAGAGAAAACAGAAGCAAUCAGAAGAAAACUACCUUCUUUUCUUGCCAAAUAUAGCAAAUUAUCUGCUUUGAUACUUACAUAAUCUGCUAUUCUACAGAUAUCCCUGCUCCUAUCUAAAGCUCUCCCUUCAUACCACAUCCUAUUCAUUCUAUUUUUGGAGGAUACAGUAAGGAGCACACCAACACAAUAGAAUGCUACUCUCAUGGAUCUUACAUUCUAGACAAGAGGAAACAAAUAAACAUAUGUAUAAAAUGGCAGAUGCUAAAAAUACUCUGAUGGUAAAGCAGGCAAAGAGGAGUAUCUGAGCCAGGCAUGGUGGCACCUGCCUGUAAUCCCAGUGGCAGGAGGAUCGCGAGUUCAAAGCUAGGCUCAGCAACUUAGCAAGGCCCUAGGCAACUCAGUGAGACUCUGUCUCUAAAUAAAAUGUAAAAAAAAAAAAGGGCUAGAGAUGUGGCUCAGUGGUAAACCACUGCUGGAUUCCAUCCUUGGUUCAAAAAAAAAAUAGGAGUAUCUUGAUUGGGGUUGGGUAGGGCUAGAGUUGAUUUUUCAGUAUGUUAGAUCAGAAAAGACCUCGUAAGAGUGACAUUUGAGCAGACACCUGAAGGAGCAAGGGAGCCAAACAAACAAAAACAGGGUGAGUAUGGGAGUGAGUUGUUUCAGCCAGAAGAAAAAGCAAGUGUACUCUACACUCUAUAUACCUGAGCUUGGCACAUUUGGGAAUAAUAGUAAGAUCAGUGUGACUGGAGCAAAGUGAACAAGUGGAGAAUGGUAGAAAAUGUGGGGAGGACAGGUCAUGUAGGUCUUUUUAAGUCAUUGCAAAGAAUACAGAAAUGCUUGAGGCUGUUGGAAGCAUCUUUCUACUCUUACUUUAUUUUUAUUUCCUGUAUUAAUUUUCCCUUCUUCUAGAUUAAUAGUUCUCAAGUUUUUUGGUUUUGGGACUCCCUUACAAUUUUUUUUUUCUCCCCCCACUCCUUUACAGUCUUAAAAAUUAUUGAGAACCCCUUGCCUUGUAUUUGAUCUUAGGAGAAAAGCAUUUAAAAAAAUGUUUUUUUAAUAUUUUUUAGUUGUAGUUUACACAAUACCCUUAUUUUAUUUAUUUAUUUUUAUGUGGUGCUGAGGAUUGAACCCAGGGCCUCAAACGUGCUAAGCGAGCACUCUAAUGCUGAGCCACAACCCCAGCGCGCAUUAAAUUUUAUAUAUUGAAUAUGAUGUUUACUAUAGGUUUCUUGAGAUUCCCUUCAUCAGGUUGAGGAUGUCUUUUUGUAUUCCUAAUUUGCUGAGAGAUUUUUAGCAGGAACAGGUAUUUAGAUUUUGUCAAAGGCUUUCUCUGUGACUAUUGAGACAAACAUGAGUUUCCUUUUAAUCUGUUAAUAUUAUGAAUUACAUUGCUUGAUAUUCAAAGAUUAAAACAAUCUUGUGGGAUGGGAAAAUAACUCAGCUGGUAGAGUGCUUGCCUUGCAUGCACUUAGGCCCUGGGUUCAAUCUCCAGCACCACAAAAAAAAAAAAUCUUGCAAGCCUGGUGCAGUGUCUAUAUAGUCUCAGUUCUUUGGGAGAUUGAGGCAAGAGGAUUACAAGUUUGAGGUCAGUCUAGACAACUUAAUGAGACCCUGUCUCAAAAUAAAAAUUAUUUAUUUAUUAAGAUACCAUAAAUAGAGGAAACACAAGCCAUAGAAUGCAAGAUGUUUGAAACGCAUUAUCCAUUAAAGGAUUUGUAUACGGAAUAUAUAGAAAGUGCCGCAGUCUGGCUGGGCACAAUUCAGGAGCCACUUGUCAAAAGAAACUAACUUUAUUUUUAGAACCACACACGCCAAACAAAACAGCUCCUCAGGAAAAACCCUCAGAGCCCAACUGCCACCACCGGCUUCCCACAAGCCUCUCCCACAACCACCAGCCUCUCCACCUCCCACAAUCCUCCUGCUCUUGAGGCCGAUUGGCUGGGUGCGCGGGCAGAGCCAAAAAAGUCCCCCAGUGAGCAGCUCCGUGGCCUGAAAGGGCAGGGAAGCAGCCCAAUGAGCAUCACCGCAGAGGAGCCAAUCAGCUAGAUGUUGCUGGGGCCGCUGUGAGCCAAUCAUCAGCUGGCAGUCUGAAAGUUUGCUGGGGCCCCUUCGGCUGUGGCUCUCAACAGAAAGGACACCAAGAAAUAAUUGAAUCUAAAGAACAAAUUUUUAAAAAGGGACCAAAAAAAAAACUUUGAAAGGUGCUUCAUAAAAGAGGGAAAACAGGGGCUGAGUUUGUGGCUCGGCAGUAGAGCACUUGCACGUGCGAGUCCCUGGAUUCAAUCCUCAGCACCACAUAAAAAUAAAAUAAAGAUAUUGUGUCCACCUAAAGCUAAAAAAUAAAUAUUAAAAAAAUAAAUAUUUUUAAAAAAGAGAAACAUGGUUAUUAGACCUACGGUCAUUAGGGAAAUGCAAUUUAACAACACAGUGAUAUAUCACUAUACACUUGCUGGGGUAUUGAAAACAAGCAUGCCGAGGAAAAGGUGCAAGGGGCAACUUGAAUCCUCAUAUUAUUGCUGUUGUUUUUAAAAUAUUUUUAAAUGUUUUAGUUGUUGAUAGAUAGACCUUUGUUUUAUUUAUUUAUAUGUGGUGCAGAAAAUUGAACCCAAGUACACCACUGCUGAGCCACAGCCCUGCUGUUGAGUUUUUUUUUUUUUUUUUUUAAAGAGAGAGUUUUUAAUAUUUAUUUUUUAGUUUUCAGCGGACACAACAUCUUUUUGUUUGUAUGUGGUGCUGAGGAUCGAACCCGGGCCGCACACAUGCCAGGCAAGCCCGCUACCACUUGAGCCACAUCCCCAGCCCCUUGAGUUUUUUAAUUGGUGCAGUUGCUUUGGAAAACUGACAGUACUCCUAUACCUAAGCAUUUUAUGACCCUGAAAUUCAUUCUGGAUGAUAAGCCAGGGGAAAAUGAGUGCAUAUGUCCACCAAAGACAUGUACAACUAAGUUUAUAGAAACUUGAUUUAUAACAGCUCAAGAUAGGAAAUGACCUAAGUUUCUAUCUAGAGUUAAAUGAAUAAAUAUCGAAAUAAAAUUUAAAAAGGGCUGGACAUGUAAUUCAGUGAUAGAACACUAGCCUAGCCUGCAUGAGACCCUAGAUUGCAUCCCCAUACUGCAAAAUAUAACAACAACAAAAAAAAAACUUUGGAUUCUUGUGAUAACUUUACUAAGUUAUGAUAUACGAUAUAUUAUUCUUUUUAUAUUUAUUUAGUUAAGAAUAGGGAUUUGUACUUUUUUUUUUUUUUUUUUGUACUGGGGAUUUAAGUUAGGGUCACGAUAAGUUGCUGAGGCUCUUCUUGAACUUGUAACCUCCUAUUUCAGCCUACCAAGUAAUCUCUCUGCUGGGAUUACAGACAUGUGCCACUGCACCUGGCCUGAUUUGCUAAAAUUUCAUUGAGAAUUUUUGUACUUAUGUUCAUGAGCUUUAUUUCUCUUCAGUGUUUUGUUUUUCUUGUAAUAUCUUUUGGUGUUAGUAUCAGUAUAAUGCUACCAUCAGUAAACCGUUUGAAAAGAAUUUUUUUCAGUUUCCUAGAAGAGUUUCUUUUUUAAAUGUUUGGUACAAUUCACUAGUAAAGUCACCUGAGCAUUUCUUUGUGAGAAUGUUUGCAACAAAUUCAAUUUUUUAUAUAAAUAUGGAACUAUUCAGCAUAUCUUUUUUUUGAUUGAGUGAAUUUGGUUGUUAAUGUCUUUUAAGGAAUUUGUCUACUUCAUUUACAUAGUCAAAUAUAUUGGUGUAAAGUUCUUUAUAAUAUUACUUUAAUACCAUUUUAGCAAGAGGAUUGCAAGUUCAAGGCCAGCCUCAGCAACUUAGCUAGGCUCUGUCUCAAAAUAAUGAAUAAAAAGAGCUGGGGAUGUAGCUCAUAGCUCAGUAGUAAAGUGCUCCUGGUUUUAAUCUCCAGAACUGCAAAAACGAAAGAAAGAAAAAAAUAGUUUCUUAAUUUUUGAGAAAUUUUCCAAGGACUUUUCAGUUAAUUUUAACUCAAUUCCAAGAAUAUACUCACUAAAUUGCCAGGUACAGUGGCACACACCUAUAAUCCCAGUGACUGAAGAGGCUGAGGUAGGAGGUUCACAUGUUCAAAGUGUUCUUAGAAAUCAUCUGGGCAUCUUGUUAAAAAUGCAGAUUUUAAUUUAAUUAAGUAGAUCUGGGGUGCAUCUGAAAUUCUGCAUUCCAAACAAGCUUCCAGGAAAUUUUGAUGCUACUGGUCUCCAGACACACCUUGAGAAAUAAGAACUAAGGAAUCUGAUAUUCUUUCUCAAAUAGGCAUCACUGAAACAGAAGGUGCCAGUAUCACUCACCCUCAAUGCCAGAGAAUUUGAACAGGGCAAGAAUAAGGCAGGUAGUAAAAGUUAAAGACAACUAAAUACCAGAUAAGUGAAAAAAAAAAAUAUAUUGUUCUGACCAGCAAGAGCUCAGGAAGCUAAAGUAACGAUCUUUUAUCUAAUUAUCUUCUCUGCUUUUCUAGCUUUGGCAUUGCAUUAGUAUGCCUUUUUUGAAUUCAUCCUCAUUCCUUUUUUCUCUCUUCAUUUUUUUCUUUUCUAUAACUGCAACCAUUUAUAAAAUAUUUGAAAAUAAAUAUCUGUUACAUUAUACUUUUAGAAAUGAUGUCAUCAUAUUAUCUUCCAACCCUCUUUUUUUAAAGAUCUGAGAGAAUUCAAGGGAACUUGGGUUGGUAUGGAUACUUAUUGCUGUUUUACAUGCAGUCUGGCAGAAACAACAUCAUGUGGCAGAUUGCAGAUUGGUGUGGUAGAAAGAAACUUCAGAAAAAACUAGUCCUUGUUCCCUAUCCUGUUUUUAAAAAAAUUCUAAAUUUUUCGUCAUUUUAUAAAUUCAAUAUGAUAUAAGAGACUGGGCACCUUGAUACAUGCCUGUAAUAAAUAAGAGACUGGGCACCUUGAUACAUGCCUGUCAUCCCAGCAGUCUGAGAGACUGAGGCAGGAAGAUACAAAUUUGAGGCCAGCUUGGGCAAUUUAGCAAGACUCUGUCUCAAAAUCAAAAGGACUGGAGAUGUUGCUCAGUGGUAAAGCACCACUAGGUUCAAUCCCCAGUACUUUAAAAAAAAGAAAAAAAGAAAGAAAAAAAUACAAAUAAGCAAAGAGAAGUCAAAGUAAAAUACCUAUAAUCCCACAGGCCAGAAAUAGUGCUGCCAAAAAAAAAAAAAAAGUGGAAUUACAAACUACAUAUUUUCUAAGUAAAGUUAGAAAAUAUGUAGUUUUUAAUCAUAAAUUUAUUUCUAUGCGUGCAAAAUUAAUCCACAAUAUACUUUUUAUUAUUAUUAUAAACCCUGUUAUUGAAUAUUUAAUUGGAUAGUAAUUGUACUCUGUUAUAAACAUGCCAGGAUGAUCCAUUCUUAUAGCCAAGUCUUUAUACAUAUUGUUAUUUCCUUGGGGAAGCCAGUGAAAGUAUUAGAUCAAAGGGUAUGCAUAUUGUUAAUGAGACUCUAAUCUCCCCUUCCUCAAGAGCUUUUAUGUGUGUGUAUUUUUAUUUUUAUUUUAUUUAUUUAUUUAUUUUUGCAGUACUAGGGAUUGAGUCCAGAGGCACUCUACCACUGAGCUACCUACAUUCCUGAACCUUUUUGAGACAGGGUUUUAUUAAAUUUCCAGGGCUAGCCUCGAAUUUAUACUCCUCCAGCUUCAGCCUCCUGACUCACUGGGAUUAUAGGUGUGCACCACUGCACCUGGCUUCCAUCUUCUGGUUUUAAACCUUGAACAUGGGGGCUGGGGUUAUGGCUCAGUGGUAGAGCACUCGCCUAGCAUGUGUGGGGCACUGGGUUCGAUCCUCAGCACCACAUAAAAAUAAAAAAUAAAGGCAUUGUGUCCAAACAUGAAAUAUUAAAAAAAAAAAUUAAACCUUGAACAUGAAGAUUGGAGGAAUGAGUGGAAAUCUUGUCAUUUCAGGGUUUAUGUUUAAAGAAGGAGGUCUCUUUCUGUGACACUAAUAUCACUCGGGUUCUGGAGGAAGAUUAUAACCAGAGGCCUCUGAUUGGUGAUUUUUCCAAGGUGAGUUUGGUUAUAUUCAUCAUUUAUGUGUGUAUGUGGGGGUGUGUUUGUAUAGGUUUCUUUUUUUUUCCUUAUGCAUGCUUGGCAAGCAUACUACCACUGAGUUGCAUCGUCAGCCUCUUCCUGUAUUUUAGUGAGUUGCUUUGGAUUUUAAUCUUUUUCUUCUGUUUUCAGAAGAUGUCAGGUAUAAUUUUACAUGGUCACAAAGUACUCUUUGUAAACUUGAAGGUAUGUGCAGGUAGAUCUUAGUCUUAUGCCUUUCCAGAGAGAAAGUAUUUCUUAUUUAUCUAGGAAAAUCCAGAACAGUGGGGAAAGUAUGAUACUUUUUAUCUUUUUUUUAAAUUCUAAUUUGUUAUAUAUGACAGUAGAAUGCAUUACAAUUCAUAUUAUACAUAUAGAGCACAAUUUUUCAUAUCUCUGGUUGUACUCAAAGUAGAGUCACACCAUUCAUGUCUUUAUACAUGUACUUAGGGUAAUGAUGUCCAUCUCAUUUCACCGUCUUUCCUAUCCCCAUGCCCCCUCCCUUACCCUCCCUCCCUUUUGCUCUAUCUAGAGUUCAUCUAAUCGUCCCAUGCUCCCCCCGACACUUUUUAUCUUCUUAUUGUUAAAAAUCUUUUUAAAAAUUAUAUUAAUAAUACUUGGCCAAUUCUGAAAAAGUAGAAAAUGAAGAAACUUGUUCUAAACAUUAUAAAUCAGAAUAGUUAUUAUGUGGUGUAUGUUCCCAUAGAUUUUUUUUCAGUAUAAUUACACAAAUAACAAAUACAUUUUCUGUUUUUCUACAAAAAUUUCUUAUGCUAUUUUGUAAUCUAUUGGGCUUUCAUCCCCAAUUUUAUAUUAUAUAAUGGGGCUAAAGAUAUAGAUCAGUGGUAGAGCACUUAUCUAGCAUGCAGUACGGGUUUGAUCCCAGUACUGCCAAAAAAGAAAAAAAUUAUGUUACGAACAUCUUUUCAUGUCCACAAAACAGUUUUAUUUCAUCAUUUUUUCAUCCUCAGCCAUUUUGGAUUUUUGGUUUGGUUUUGUUUUUAAGACAUGAUUCCACUAAAUUGUUAAGGGUUUUGCUAAGUUGCUGACAUUGGCCUGUAACCUAUCCUACCCUCAGCCUCCCAAGUAACUAGGAUUACAGGCAUAUACCACCCAUACCCAUCCUUUCAUCAUUUUGAAUAGCAUACAUUAUUUAAUUUUUUGGCUGAUUAUAAUUUAUUCAUAAGUUUCAUCUUGUGGGAUAUUUAGCUUUAUUUAGUUUUAUAUUUUUUCCUUAUAAAUGAAGUGUGUGUUUUGUAAAGAAAUCUAAAACUUCAUACACAUCCUUCAUUAGUUCCUUGGUAUCAGUUCUUAGAAAUAAAAUUAUAGGUACAGUUACACACUUCUAUAAUUCCAGUGAGUUGGGAGGCUGAGGCAGGAGGAUCAGCAACUUAGCAAGGCCCUAAGCAACUUAGUGACACCUUGUCCCAAAAUAAAAUACAAAGGGCUGGGGAGGUAGCUCAGUGGUUAAGCCCAUCUGGGUUCAAUUCCCUACACCAAAAAAAAAAAGAAAAGGAAUUGCUGCAUAUACAUGUUAUAGAGACCAUUGAUUUUUAAAGCUUUGGGGUUUUAAGAAUCUUUUGAAAGGAGGACAAUAUGUGGGUCUUUGAUCUCAGGCUUGGUUGGAGAAUACUUGCUGUUAUUUCAGCUUUUGGGUAUUUCUAGGUAUGUGUGCUGCCAGUCGUGUCAGGGAGACACCAGGAUCUGAAGUACAUCAACCCAGAAACAGUAAGCAGAUUUCUGGAGAUGGUAACUGGUUGGUUACAUAAGCUACCAUCUGGUCCAUUCUGUUACUAAAAUCCCAUUUCCAUUUGUAUUUCUUUCAUUGUGUUCAUUCACAUAGGCUCCUUAUUCAACUGAAACUGUAUUAAAGUACUCCCUUUUUUGUCCAUUUUUCUGAUUUUUUGUUUUAAACAAAUGAUGCAUAAGUAUUUUUAAAAAACAGGAAGGAAGGAGGGAGGGAUGCAAACACAAAAAGGAAAAAAAUACUACUUACCUAGGGUCUCAGAUAAAGUAAACAUAAACCUUGUCUUUAUAUAUUAUAAUCCCUUUUAUAUCUAUUAGGAUAAUUAUUAAUAGUGUUCUCUUCCCUCCCACCCCCACCCCCAGCACUAGAAAUUGAAUCCAGUGGUGAUCUACCAUGAGCUGUAUCCCCAGUCCUUUUUUAAAUUUUAUACUUUGAGAUAAAGUCUCACUAAGCUGCCAGGCUGCCCUCGAACAUGUGAUCCUCUUGCCACAGCCUACUGAGUAGCUGAGAUUUCAGGUAUGGGCCACUGUACCCAGCUCAUGUUCUCUUUUAUUCUCAGAAAGUUUCCCAGUAUGUACAAUAAUUAUGUAGUCCCUUGACUCAUAGUUUUACCAGCAAAGAUAUAACCACUAGAGAUAUUUUCUAGAUUUAAUAAUAGUAUGUUUUAUAAAAAUGCGAAUUAUGCCAGGCAUGAUGGCACAUGCCUAUAGAUCCCACCUACUUGGGAGACUAGGGCAGGAGGAUCACAAGUUCAAGGCCAGCCUGGGCAACUUAGUGGGACCCUUAGUGGGACCCUAUCUCAAUAUAAAAUUUUAAAAGGGUUGGGUGGUCUAGCUCAAUGGUAAGUUCUGGCCUACUAUGCACAAACCCCUGGAUUUGAUUCCAGUACCCAAAAAAAAGAAAAAGUGUUGGAAUUAGUAAGACAUCAUAAUUGUCUCUUUCUUUUCUUUUGAUACUGGGGAUUGGGGUGCUCUACAACUGAGAUACAUCCCUAUGCCUUUUUUUUUUUUUUUUAAGAAUUUUUUUAAUAUUUUUUAGUUUUCAGCAGGCACAACAUCUUUGUUUGUACGUGGUGCUGAGGAUCGAACCCGGGCCACACGCAUGCCAGGCGAGCGCGCUACCGCUUGAGCCACAUCCCCAGCCCCUAUGCCUUUUUAUUUUUUAUUUUGAGACAGGGUUGCUCAGUUGCUGAGGCUGCCCUCAAAUUUGUGAUCCUCAGGCCUCAGCCUUCCAAAUUGCUGGGAUGCCACCACACCUGGCAUAUACAAAUUUCUAUAUCAAUAAAAAGAUAUAUAUAGUAUCAUAUUAACUGCUAUAUAAUAUUCUGCUGUACUGACAUGUAUAUAACUUAUUUAACCAACCCCUUAUUGAAUAUUUUUUAAAAUAUUUAUUUUUUAGUGGUAGUUGAACACAAUACCUUUAUUUUAUUUAUUUAUAUGUGAAGCUGAGGAUCGAACCCAAGUCUCAUACAUGCUAGGCAAGUGCUCUACCACUGAGCCAUAACCUCAACCCCUUAUUGAAUAUUUAACUUAUUUCUAAUAUUUUGAUAACGUAAAACAAUGUUGUAUUAAUAUCAAAUUGUGCCUACAUCUUUGUGUAUUUUUCUGUUUACUUAAGAUGUUAGAAGCCAAGCAUCAUAGUGCACAUCUGUAAUCCCAGCUACUCAAGAGACUCAGUCAGAAGCAUCACAAAUUUGAGGCCAGCCUGGGCAACUCAACUACACCCUAUUUCAAAAUAGGAGUUGGGGAUGAAGCCUAGUAGUAGAACACCCCAGGUUCAAGUCCCUCCCCCUUCAAAAAAAAAAAAAUGUUGGAAGAGAAAUUUUUAUUCACAGUGUUCUCUCCAUUGUGAACCAAUUUAUACCUCUAUAAGUAGCUUAAGUUUCUACCUCUAAGUAUGAAUUCUUUUUUUCUAUGUCUGAAAGACUUGCUUUUUUUUUUUUCUUCUUUUUUCCCUUCUUUUUUUUUCAGGGCCAAGGACCAAAUCCAGGACCAUGCAUAUGCUAGGCAAGCAGUCUGUCUCUGGCUAAAUCCCCAAUCCCAAGGCUUGCUUUUGAAAUUUUUAUUUUCUGAGGAUUGAACCCAGGGCCUUAUGCAUGCAUUUUUUUUUUUUUUUUAAAUGCAGGUGGGGAAUUUUUUUUCCCCAUAUCUUGUAAAACUGGCAUCUCUAGCUGCUAACUCUGCUACUGUAGAAGUCUUUUGAAAUCUCCUAAGAAGCUAAUUCCAGCUACUCCUACCUCUAAAUGGGUAGCUGCAGUAAGGUCUUCCUUGGUGUCCUGGCAAUACUAGCCAUUUUAGAGCCUUACAAAUGCCACUUCUAUUUCAUAAUCUUUUUUUUAGAGAGAAUUUUUUUUUUUUUUUUAAUAUUUAUUUUUUAGUUUUCGGCGGACACACAUCUUUGUUUGUUUGUGGUGCUGAGGAUCGAACCUGGGCCGCACGCAUGCCAGGCGAGUGCACUACAGCUUGAGCCACAUCCCCAGCCCCCAUUUCAUAAUCUUAUGUGGGGUUAGGCUGAACCACCACAUUGCACAUAUGGGUUGACUCUUGAUUAUAGUGGAAUCCUGGGUGACUAAUGGGAGCGUGCACAUAAGGAGCAAUGUGAUUGACACUUCUCUGUCAGAGGGCAAUGAGCAGGGUAUUCAAUCAUUGUUUCUGUGUAGGUGGCUGCCUUACUGUCUGGAAAGUUCCAAGAUCUGAUUGAGAAGUUUUAUAUCAUUGAUUGCCGCUAUCCAUAUGAGUACCUGGGAGGACACAUCCAGGUAAGGUUACAUUGUGGACAUUAGCAGAGAUGGGCUAGAUAUGGGACUUAAUUUCUUUCUUUCUUUUGGGGGGGAAUUGAAUGCAGGGGUGCUUAACCACUGAACCAUAUCCUCAUCCUUUUUUAUUUUUAUUUAUUUUAAUAUUUUUUUAGAUGUUGAUUAAUCUUUAUUUUAUUCAUUUAUUUAUAUGUGGUGCUCAGAAUUGAACCCAGUGCCUCAAACAUGUAGGCAAGCACUUUACCACUGAGCUACAACCCCAGCCCUAAUUUUUCUUGAGACAGGGUCUCUAAGUUGCUUGGGGCCUUACUGAGGUGCUGAGGCUGGCCUCAAACUUGUGAUCCUCCUGUCUCAGCCUUCCAAGUCACUGGGAUUACAGGAGUGCAUCACUAUACCUGGCAAAGAUGGGACUUUCUUAAAAGGAGUCUGUGGAUAAAGAGUCCUGUGAAGUUUAAAACCAAAGCAGAGAUUAUAGAUUUGGAACACUUCCAGGCUGAAAUUCUCAUUCCUAUUUUAAUUCUGUAUACCUUGAGCGACUUACUUUUCUUUUCCCUUCUCAACCGAUCUCUUCUAUCCACAGACUGAACACUGUGUAUGGACAUUCCUUGCAAUGAUCCCUACACUCCAGGUGAUUCAGUUCUAUGCGUAUUUAUUGAGAAUCUACUACAUACCAAGUUCUAAGCCAGGCCCUGGAGUAGAUACAGAGAUACACAAAGGUCCCUAUUUGAAAGUUCUUUUUGUCUACUUUUUCUGACCUAAGUAUCCCAGGAUGCUAUACUAGUCAUUUCUAGUAUUGAUACUUUACACAGGCUCUGGAGGGAAUACUAAUUAAAAUUCCUCCUUGGGCUGGGGAUGUGGCUCAAGAGGUAGCACGCUCGCCUGGCAUGCGUGUGGCCCAGGUUUGAUCCUCAGCACCACAUACAAACAAAGAUGUUGUGUCUGCCAAAAACUAAAAAAUAAAUAUUAAAAAAAUUCUCUCUUAAAAAAAAAAAAAAUUCAUCCUCUACAGGGAGCCUUAAACUUAUAUAGUCAGAAAGAACUAUAUAACUUCUUCCUGAAGAAACCCGUUGUCCCCUUGGACAUCCAGAAAAGAAUAAUCAUCGUGUUUCACUGUGAAUUCUCCUCAGAGAGGGGCCCCAGAAUGUGAGUGUCUACAUGGGAUAAGGUGGGCAAUAGAAAUGGAUUUUUUUUUCCCUAAUAAUGGGAAUUGAACCCAGGGGUGCUCUACGGAGCUAUAUCCCCAACCCUAUUUAUUUAUUUAUGAAUGAAUGAAUGAAUGAAUGAAAGAAAUAGGGUAUCACUGAGUCAUGCCAUCAUGCCUUGAAUUUGUGAUCCUCCUGCCUCUCCCUCCUGAGUCCCUGAGAUUAUAGGCAUGUUCCAUGGCAUCCAUGUAGAAAUGGAUGGAUCUUGAGGUGGACUUCUCACACCAGUUUAGAUGGAGAUUGACUGGAUGCUCUCCAAUACUAUUUGAAGAAUGUUAGGAAGGUUGAAAAUCGAAUAUGGAGCAAGCCAGUCACAAUGGUACACUCCUAUAAUCGAAGCCGCUUGAGAGGCUGAGGCAGGAAUAUCUCAAGUUCAAGGCUAGCCUUGGCAACUUAGCAAGACCCUGUCUCAAAAUAAAAAAUAACAAGAACUUGGGAUAUAGCCCAAUUGUAGAGCUCUGGAUUCAGUCCCUAGUGCCACAAAAGCAAUACAGGGAAAAGGAUUGAAAAUGAGACUGCAGAAGAGGAAAGGAAGAAGAGGGGUGAUAUUUGGACCUUGUUUUUGCAAACACAGAAGUUUCACUUUGUGUGUGUGUGGUGUUGGGGAUUGAACCCAUGGUUAUAUGCAUGCCCAGGGGAUUCUGACCUUGCUUCUUUCCAACCUACCCACCCCUACAAUCUCUUGAUUUUUCCUAAAGGUGCCGCUCUCUGAGAGAAGAAGACAGAGCUCUGAACCAGUAUCCUACCUUGUACUAUCCAGAGCUAUAUAUUCUCAAAGGCGGCUACAGAGAC
rnacentral:lncRNA from 1 species